rnacentral:rRNA from 1 species
GACGAACGCUGGCGGCGUGCCUAAUACAUGCAAGUAGGACGCAGUUGCGAACGGGUGAUUAACGCGUAGGUAACUACCUAUUAGAGGGGGAUAACUAUUGGAAACGAUAGCUAAUACCGCAUAAUAGUAGAUGUACCUGCGUUGUAUUAGCUAGUAGGUAGGGUAAUGGCCUACCUAGGCAACGAUACAUAGCCGACCUGCGAGGGGGACCGGCCAACGUGGUACUUGGACACGGCCCAGACUCCUACGGGAGGAAGCAGAAGGGAAGCGUCGGGAAUGGGGGGAACCCUGACCAAGCAACGCCGCGUGAGUGAAGAGGGUUUUCGGAUCGUAAAGCUCUGUUGUUAAGGAAGCGGUACUUAACCAGAAAGGGACGGCUAACUACGUGCCAGCAGCCGCGGUAAUAC